rnacentral:lncRNA from 1 species
CUCCUCCCCUUGCGCCGGUCCGGCCGAGACCUCUCGGAGGGGUCGAUGUUUUCGGUCCCAGCUGGGGCUCGUCUCUCUGUCCACCCCACCGCCCGGUCCAGGUGCCCCAGAUGGUUCUGCUGGACGCAGAGAGGGCCUCCUACCUCUUCUUGAAGGCGCCAUGACAGUUCUAAUGCCUGGAAAAGACAAAAGGAGCGAAAGACAUAGCCUCAGUCCGAGAGGAGCGCCCCCACCCCAGCCCCCGCCUGCAUUAUUUUGGAACGAGACUGGUGUGCAGGACGCCAAUUCUCCGGAAAGCUUUUAAAAUUUACCUAACACUGAAAAUUAGUAGUUAACGCUUGGUGAUUGCUUAGCACUAUUUGCUUAAACUUUGUAAGAGGUUUUCACAGAUGUUAUUUCAUUUGAUCCUCAUAAGAACGAACUCAUUGAAAUUAUCAUUCAAUGGUAGUUGACAAAUGCAAAAACCUGAAUCAGAGGUAUUAAGCUAUUAACCGAAAGUUAAGUUGGUAAGAGCCAAGUCUAGAAUCCGAAACAGUAAAUUUCAUCAAAGGAGACUACGUUGAGAAGAUGUUUGGAAAGAAUUUAGAUUGGUUUCGAGUUAGUGGAAAGAAAAGAUGAUAAAUUCUUGGUGAGCUAUUAAUCUGCGAAAACUAAGCGCGGAGCCUUCAGGAUGGAAGUUCACUCUGCCCUUAGACGUGUAUGAUGGAGGGAAGAUGAUGAAUCAAUCAACAGAACUUGGAAAUGUCACAAUCACCAAAUUUUACUGUCAUUAAAGAGAAUCUCUAAUCCUGUUUCACUGGGAGAAAGGACAACUGGCAGAAACCCUCUCGUUUUCUCAUCAUCUCAAAAUACUCGUUUUUAAAACCAAUCUUUCGGCCGGGCGCGGUGGCUCACGCCCAGCACUUUGGGAGGCCGAGGUGGGCGGAUCACUUGAGGUCAGGAGUUCGAGACCAGCCUGCUCAAUGUAGUAAAACUCCGUCUCUACUAAAAAUACAAAAAUUAGCCGGGCGAGGUAGCACAUGUCUGUUCUCUCAAGCUGCUUGGGAGGCUGAGGCGGGAAGAUCACUUGAGCCCAGGAGGCAGAGGUUGCAGUAGGCCAAGACUGCACGACUACGCUCCAGCCUGGGCAACAGAGUGUGAGAAUCCGUCUCAAAAAAAAAAAAAAAAAAAAAAAAAAAAAAAUAUAUAUAUAUAUAUAUAUAUAUAUAUAUAUAUAUAUAUAUAUGUAUGUAUGUUUUACCCUUUCUUCCUUGAUUCUUCUAUCUUUGGAAGAGGGGGGCUCAAACACCCUUUUUAAAAUCUGAUGUAACUUAUGGGCCUUCUCUUGUACUUUAAAAAAUGCACUUACCCAACAAAUUUAGGAUAUAAUUUCAGGAAACUGAGGUUAAGAAUCUUUGCUCUGGGCUGGGCGCGAUGGCUCAUGCCUGUAAUACCAGCACUUUGGGAGACUGAGGCGGGCGGAUCAUUUGAGGUCAGGAGUUCAAAACCAGCCUGGCCAGCAUGGUGAAACCUCGUCUCUACUAAAAAUACAAAAAUUAGUCAGGCGUGCUUGUGGGCGCCUGUAAUCCCAGCUACUCAGGAGGCUGAGGCAGGAGAAUCACUUGAACCCGGGAGGCAGAGGUUGCUGUUAGCUGAGAUCAGGCCACUGUACUCCAGCCUGGGCGACAAGAGCAAGACUCCACCUAAAAAAUAAAUAAAUAAAUAAAUAAAAUAAUUUCUUGGUUCUAAUCUCAAAGGAAAAGAUUAACCUUUCCUUCCUGUGGGCUCAAAAGCAAUUGGAACACCUGGCCCAGGGUAAACAUUCAUUAAAUAUCAGUUCAUGUUAUCAUUAGAGUUUCCCAUUCUCUUCUGCCUGGGGCUUUAUCAUUAUCAACCUUCCGCUUUCAACUAGGUCCUUUCAAGUAUGCAUGGAGGACCCUUUGGCAUCCUCUAGCUCUCAUUUUUAACCCUUCAUUACAUUUAAAAUGAUCAAAUACUACCUGCAUUUUCACCACCUCAUGUAUUUAUUUUUUCCUGCUUAUAAAAAUAAUUCAUGCUCAUUGCCAAAAAACAACGCAAAAAUAUUCCCAAAACUAUUUUAGUAUAAUGUAAUAUUUAUAUAGUAGCUUCUAUGUGUUAGGCACUUUUAAUUGCUUUAUGACAACAAUGCUGACAACAGUAAUAUGAAUAUUAACAAUUUCUGUAGAAAGUGAAAUCUCUUAUAAUCCUACUUCCCCCGAUAAUUAAGACUUUGGUGUAUUUUUUUUUUUUUGAGGUGGAGUCUCGCUCCAUUGCCCAGGCUGGAGUGCAGUGGCACGAUCUUGGCUCACUGCAACCUCCACCUCCCAAGUUCAAGAGAUUCUCCUGGCCUCAGCCUCCCGAAUAGCUGGGACUACAGGCGUGUGCCACCAUGCCUGGCUAAUUUUUUGUAUAUUUAGUAGAGACGAGGUUUCACCGUGUUAGCCAGGAUGGUCUCGAUCUUCUGACCUCGUGAUCUGCCCACCUUGGCCUCCCAAAGUGCUGGGAUUACAGACAUGAGCCACCGCGCCUGACCUUUUAUUUUUAUUUUUCUAAGUAUAUAUUCACAUAUGUGUAUAUAAUUUUAAAUGAAAACAAGUUUAUACUACAUAACCUUUUUCACUUUUUUCUAUGGCAAUGCACAUGGCCCUACUUUAAUUUUUUAACCACUACUUUAAUUUUUUACUUUACUUGGGUUUUUUUUUGUUGUUGUCUUUUUGUUUUGUUUUGUUUUGUUUUUGAGAUGGAGUCUUGCUCUGUCGCCAGGCUGGAGUGCAGUGGCGCAGUCGUGGCUCACUGCAACCUCCGCCUCCUGGGUUCAAGCGAUUCUCCUGCCUCAGCCUCCCUAGUAGCUGGGAUUACAGGCACGCACCACCAUGCCCAGCUAAUUUUUGUAUUUUUAGUAGAGAUGGGGUUUCACCAUGUCGGCCAGGCUGGUCUUGAACUCCUGACCUCGUGAUCCGCCUGCCUCGGCCUCCCAAAGUGCUGGGAUUACAGGUGUGAGCCACUGCACCCAGCCUUUUUUUUUUUUAAGACAGGAAUCUCACUCCGUCACCCAGGCUGGAGUGUGGUGACUCAGUCUCGGCUAACUGCCACCUCCACCUCCCAGGUUCAAGCGAUUCUCGUGCCUCAGCCUCCCAAGUAGCUGGGACUACAGGCAUGUGCCACCAUGCCCGACUAAUUUUUAUAUUUUUAGUAGAGAGAGAGUUUUACCAUGUUGCCGAGGCUGGUCUUGAACUUCUGAACUCGGGCAAUCCGCCCGCCUUGGCCUACCAAAGUGCUAGGAUUACAGGUGUGAACCACCGUGCCCGACCCUUUACUGGUUAAUUUUUAACCAGCAGAAUAUUCCACUGUCCAAAUAUGCCAGCAUUUAAUUAGUAACUACCUGUGGACAUUGGGAUAACAUUCAUCAUUUAUUAUUAUAAAUAAAGCAGCAAUGAGCAUUUAGC